rnacentral:lncRNA from 1 species
AAAGAGAUUCGGUAGUGGCGCCAACCUGUGUUGAGCAAUUUGUCCUUAUCCUUUCCCACCAACAACGCAUUUCGCAUUUCCUUAUAAACCUACCACGAAACCAAUGCCCCCAACUCCACUCCACCGUCGUCUCCUCAAUUUCACUCUGCAGAAAUGGUGAGAGUUGGGGUUUCCAACCAUUCCAGAUUGAUUUGCGCCGCAUUGCCUCCUGAUCAAUCCGUCGACCAAUUGCUCAAUGGCAUGCAUCAGGCCAUGGCUCAGGGCGCGGACCUCGUCCAAAUCGCCCUCGAUUGCGUCUCCGAUUCCGAUCUCACAAUCCUGCUCCGCAACAACCCCAUUCCCGUCGUCCUCGUUUCCCGGUAUGAAUUUCCAACUCUGUGUUGUUUAUUGGUAUCAGCUUUGAAAUUAAUUUGGCUUUAUUUUCUCGUUUUGAUAAUUAAUUAAUUAUCAGCUUUGAAAUGUGUUUAUUGGUAUAGUAAGAUAGGUGGAUGGUCAAAACGACACAACUAUUACUUAUUUAGUUAUUUUAAACACCAUCGUUUAUUUAUUUACUUAUAUAAUUUAUCGGAAAAAAAAAAUUGUCCUUAGCUGGAGAACCCAUGUCAAUUUCAAUUUGAUUAAAAUUGCUCGCCAUGGAAAAAAUAGAUGUAUUUCGAUUAAAAGAAAAAGAGUUAAAAUAAAAUUAAAAAAUAUUAAAAAUUUGUAUAUUUAAAUGCAAAUAACUCUUUUUUGAACUAUUUUCUAAUAAUUUGAUUUGUCUCGAAGAAGUUUGAAUGUUUGGUGCAAGUUGCACAUGCCUCUUACAUUUUUUCAAAGAGGAUUAAUAAUUAUUCCCCGUUUCCGCAUUUCAUGUGGUGACUCAAACACCACAAUUUAAUGAUAAAAGGAGAUGCGUUUUACCAAUUGAGUUGUAUUUUGUUGUCAGUAAUAUGUGUAUUAUAUGUUAGGAAAGCAUCAUGCCAUCAUCCAAUAUAGAAAAUUGAGAAAAAGAAGGGAAAAAAAAAAACUACGUUUACAACCUUGCAUUGUGUUAGGUUGGUCUUAGUCUGGCUGCACCUACUUGAAAUAUUAAAAAUAAAAUAAAAUUAAUAAAAANGAAACCAAUGCACCCAACUCCACUCCACCGUCGUCUCCUCAAUUUCACUCUGCAGAAAUGGUGAGAGUUGGGGUUUCCGACAAUUCCAGAUUGAUUUGCGCCGCAUUGCCUCCUGAUCAAUCCGUCGACCAAUUGCUCAAUGGCAUGCAUCAGGCCAUGGCUCAGGGCGCGGACCUCGUCCAAAUCGCCCUCGAUUGCGUCUCCGAUUCCGAUCUCACAAUCCUGCUCCGCAACAACCCCAUUCCCGUCGUCCUUGUUUCCCGGUAAAUAUUUCCAACUCUGUGUUUAUUGGUAUCAGCUUUGGAAUUAAUGUGGCUUU